rnacentral:lncRNA from 1 species
CCAUCCCACGCCCACCCUUUUGCGCCAAAUAUCUGGAUAAAAAUAAGUUGGUUGGCCAUUCAAAUUCAAAAGAAAGUUUGAAUUUGAAUGAGCAACCAACUAAUCCAUGCGCCAUGGUCUUAUCUUGUGCGCCCCAUAUUUUACACGAGAAAAUAUUUCUCGUGUAAAAUCUCCAUGCACAAAUCAACUCACGCCCCUUCUCUUCUCACGCACAAGUGGAUAGGGAUGAGUUGGUUUUGCAUUUGAAUUCAAAUUUGAUUUGAAUUCAAAUGUGCAACCACUUAUCUUUAUCCUCUCACACAGAUAAGACACGUUCGACGUUGUUUUAAAAAGAGGAGAAAGUUGGGACGUGCGUAAAAAAUUUUAGGAGAGAAACGUUGGGGCGUGAGAAAAGUUUGUGCGCAAGGUGAAGGUCCAAAACCUUCCGAGAGAAAAAGAAAGAAAAGAAAGAAAAUUGAGCGCAGGGUUUCUAGUGUGUACCCUAGGGUUUCUACCUAGGGUUUGGGAAGUGAGAUUGGUGUGCCACGAGUGUCGUGAGUCCACCAAAUUUUAGGAAGAGAUCCAUCAGCCUCUCAAGCAACCGUGCAAACGAUCUGGAGCAUCCGAGGAGUCAGCACACAUUGAUCGAAGGAGUUCGAUCAACAUCUGCCAUCAAAAGGGUGAAAUCACGAACUAGCAUUCGUGAGGAGUUGAUCAGACGGGAGCUUCGUGUGGAUGAUCCACAGAGGUUAGACAUUUGUGUAGCUACGAUGUGACGAUCAGAGCCCCUCGAUGGUGAUCAGAUUGUGAUGAUCGACUACCCGCAAAGGGUGAUGUGUUCUGAACACAGUACUGUAAAAGGUUUACUGAUUCAAAUUUGAAUUUCAAAUUUAAAUGCAUGCUGUUGUAUCAUAUUUAGAUCCUAGUGUAGGGUUAAUUAGUAUUAAUUAAUGAGAUUAAUUAAUAAUUUCACUAUAAAAUAGUAAUUUUGAAAAAGUUUUAAAAUUACCAUUUUGCCCCUGUACUAAAUUUUUGCUACAAACUUACCACUGAAGGACAUAUUUGAUAUUUUCAUCAAAUUUUUAU